UAUCUUAAUGUAACCUAAAGUCUUCAAAAAGAUUACCAUAUCAUACAAUACUAGAGCGAACAUAACCAUGCCUUGAUCAUCAUUUAAAUACCCUUGAAUGAAGUUUCUGAAAAAAUCCCAACGAAUGCCAAGAUGUUCACCUUUAGGCUUUGUGAAGAAAUCAAUGGUUUCUACUUUAUCCCCCAUAAGCUUAGCCAACUUUUUACGAUAACCUAAUUUCGACUUUCAGGUAAACACUUUAUUCAAACACUGUAGUUUUAUCCCAAGCAAAAUCGAAUACUCUUCAAUAAUCGGUGCCAAAUCUUUUUGAUUAAAAAUGAAACAUCUAUAAGACAGAUCCCAAAACUAUAUAGCUAUCAUAAUCAAUUGUUCAUCCAUCACUAUCGAAAUAAAAGAUGCAAUCUGUCCUACUUUUUGUAAAAGUUUUUUUUUCUCUCUUCAUUUAACUAACCCCAGAUGAUGGUUAAGUAUUUUAAAUCAUUCUGUGUGAGAUCCAAAUACACCUUCUCGGGUAACUCAAACACAUAAUCGGUAGGCAAGCAAUCUCCACUCUUUUGUUGGGCUUUUUUUGACCAAAUAUAUACUUUAUUAUAUGGCUCACAUGGGACACUGACUGAGAUGAGCAAAUCUGUAGUUCUAUAGGAUCCGUGAAAACUUCUCGAGAGAAAGAUGCCCUAUAACAAAUACCUUAAUGCAAAAUUAUAUGAUAUGAUUAAUGUAAAAAAAAAAAAACAAAACAAAAUUGAGUUAGUAUGAGGAUGUGGUUUGAGAUUAAAAAAAAAAUUUGUUUUGAGAUUUUUUGUUUUGUUUUGUUUUGUAUUACACACAACUUUUAUUCUUAUACGUUUUGGACUUAGGUAUUUUCUACAAAAGGGUGGGCAAGGCUCUACCUAAGGUUAGCUUCUUAUGCUUAUUACAUGCUUGGUUCAGGUUGACAUAAUUCUAAAGGUUCUCAAAUUAUUCCUUACUGUCAUCCACACUAGACUAGUAAGGCACCCCAUCCUUACCCAUUACAGGCUAUGAACGAAAAAGAGUUCAAUUUGAGUGGAAGUAUUUCACUUGCCAUUGUGGGGUUUAUCACCUCACGAGGCCAUAGGUGUUUUACUUCAUCUUAUAAGGGAUAGAGCUCGGGUAUAGAGCUCAUGCAUAAGAUGCAUCGUGUCAUUGUGUGUGCAUAUGUUUACUAAUUUAUUGGGAAAAAAAACAUACAAAAAAUAAUAAUAAAAGAAAUGCGUAUGAAAUUUUUUUUCAUUUUUUGGUUUGUUUUUUAUUUGUUUGGCUUUUUUUUUAAGUAAAAAGAAUCUAGGAAUUAAAAAUUAAAUAACGAUUAAGACUAUUUAAAUCAAAAUUUGAGGAUAACACGUAGUUAAUUUUGGCUUAACUCUAAAAAAAAAUGGCAUCUCCAGUGGAGUUGCCCAGCGUCGUAAUAGUUUUGUGUCCGCUCGACAAAUUUGAAAGUGAAAAGAAGAAAAAAUGAAAAAUGGAGUCGCCACCAAUCUUGUUUAGUUAGAUGCGAUUGGCCACAUAUUAAAACAUAUCAUUUUAAUAAAAAUUUUAAAAUUAAUUAAAAUUUAUUACAAAGAUAAUUUUAUGAUCUGUGAAACAAUAUGAGUUUGGGAGUCGAUUACGAGUAGGGAAUGAUUAGUACCCCCACAGCGCCUAUUUAAAACGGUACUAACUAGUUAAGUGUUAUCUAUUGAUUUUGAUAAAAAUAGUCUUAUUUUUAGUGUUUGAAAAAUAAUUUCCUCAAAUUUUCAUUUAUUAGUUUUUUUUAAUAUCUUUUAUUGUUUAUUGUUUCAUUUUUAUUCAAGAAAAAUAAAUUAAAAUUUUUUUAUUGAAAUAAUUCUUAAAAUGUUUCAGUACAUUGGUAAUAUUAGAAAAAAAUUUUCUCACCUAGAGAUUUCUUAGGCAUCGCUUAUCGGAAUACUUUAAAAUCUUAUCAUUGGAGAUUCGAAUUUAUUUUUCGUAAAAACCAUGUUGUGCAUGUAAUGCAAAAAAUGCUAAUAUGUUAAUGCACACAUUUUAUUAUUGAUUUUUAUUAUCUUUUUAUUAUUUAUUUGAAUUUUUGAAAAAAAUAAAAAAUUUUAUUAUAUUGAAGAUUUUCUAUAAAUAUUUCAAUACACUGGUAAUAUUUAAAAAAAUCUUCUCACCUAGGGAUUUCUUAAAGCAUCUCUACUCAGAAUACUCUUAGAAUCUCGUCAUCAAAUAAAAUUUCAUUUUGCUAAUUUUUUAUCACCUUAUUUUUAAUUUAUUAGUUAAUUUUACUUUUUUUAUUAAAAAUUUUUUUAUUGUAUUGAAAACUUUUUAUAAAUACUCAAAUACAUUGGUAAUAUUUUAAAAAAAAAUUUCACUUAGAGAUUUCGUAGGUAUCACUACUCGAAAUACCUUUGAAUCUUAUCAUCGGAUAAAAAAAAUUUUUCUUGCAUUCUUUUUAUUAUUUUGUAUUAUUUUAUUUUAAAAAAUAAAAAUUAUCAAAGUUUUUAAUUAUGUAUUUCAUUAUUCAUUUAUAUGAUUUCAACAAAAUUUUAUUCUAACAAAUUUAAAUUUUUUAAUAUACAUAAAUACUAAUAAUAAAAUUUAAAAUCAAAAAAAUAAUUCAAAAAAAAUCAAAAACAAAAAGAAUAAAAAAAUUACUUGAAUCGAAUCAGUCAACGAUUCAGUCAACGUCGAUCUGGUCCGAUCUAGGUAGUUUAGCGAUUUGACGUCGAUCUGGUUUGGUCUGGGCCAGUUCAACUAGGCUAAUUGAGAGUCAAAGGGAGAACAAGUAACCGAAUCGGGUGCGUGGACCCUAGGUUGGGUUAUGGGUCGACGUGCAGAUCCUCUGGGUUAAAACGAUGUCGUUCUGCUUGUUGCCCAAAUGACGUCUUUUUGAAGGUCUAUUUAAAGGCCAAAUCAACUAUUUUUUUCUUGUUUUUUUCUUUCUCUCAAACACUCACUUUCUCUCUCUAAAAACCUAGAAAUCGACGACUAUUGUGCUGUACCGACCAUCGUCGGUGGUCGUCGACUGUUGUUUAUCGAUCGUCAAAAAAUUUCAAAACCCACCAAAUGAAUGAUCCCAGUCUCUUAAGUCCAGAUCCAAGCUUAGUUUUACGAAAAAAGACCCUAAACAGCAGGAUUUGGCCUGAAAGUUUGGUCAAACUAAUUUUUUCUUAUUUUGUGGUAUUUCUUUUUACCAGUGUUGUGGUUCCCGUUUUAAGGACUAUUUUGUUUUGUUUGUGUUUCGGUGUUUGAUUCUUAUUUUUUCAUAAAAUUUUUUUGGAAUCCGACAAUGAAUGUGUUUUUUUUUUGCAAAAAUUUUAUCCUAUCUUUUGUUGCCGGCUUCAUUGCUCUAUUUAUAAAGCAAAAAAGAAGAUCAAUGGUGGCCUAGGAUUAGAGCGACCAUCGGUUAUCAGAACGGCUGUCGAUGGCUAUCAAAGCUGCUAACAAUUGCAGGCGACAGGCAAAAAAGCUGCAAAAAAAAGAAUAAAUAAAUAAAAUGGUGUAUACAAAUCUUGAUAUUGAAAAUCUUUUUUAAAUUCUUCAAUAUGUUAGUAAAAUUUAGAAAGAAUUUCUCAAAUAGUAAUUUACAUAACGAUUGUUAUUUACAACGCUAUUAGUGGUUCCAUCAUCGAAUAUUCAAAAUUUAACUUUGUAAAAAAACUCUUAUUUUCAAAAUAUCUUUCAAUAGAUUAGUAAGAUUUUUUUCUAGAAAUUAUCCUCUAAUAUAUUGAUAGGAUUUUAUGAAAAUUAUUUCUUUUCUAAAAAUCAAUUUUUAUUUAAAAAUUAUAAAGUUUUUUUAUAUGUUGGAAAAACUUUAUCUUAAAAAUCAAAUUACCUUUCAAUAUAUUGGUAAGUCUUUAUUGGAAACUAUUUUUUCUCUUGAAAUUUAAAAUUUUUUAUAAAAAGUUAAUAAGGUUCUCUAAUAUGUUGGUAAAAUCUUAUUUUAAAAAUCAAAUUACCUUUCAAUAUGCUGGUAAAGAUUUUUGUUUUAUUAAAACAAUUUAUUAAAAAUUUGAAUAUUAUAAUAUGUUAGUAAUAUUCUUUUUAUUUAAACAUUUAUUUUAAGAAAAUUUGAACCCUCCAAUAUAUUUGUAAAGUUAUUUUUGUUUUAUUAAACAAUGUUUUUCCUUUUUUUUUUUAAAUAUUUACAAAUAAAUAAAAACCUAAAUAGUCAAAUAAACAAAUAAAUAAAUAGGCAAUUAUGAUAAAAAUACAAAUAUAACUAGAACUUAAGAAAAAGACAAGUAAAAAAGUAAAUACCAAAUAUUAAUCCACAAUUCAUUCCAAAGCACAUGGAUCUUUGUAAUUAUAUUUGCCCAUUUUAAUUUGCUGGUUAUUGGAACCAAGUAUGAUUUAAACUUCUUAUUGGAUUGAAUUCUCAAACUAGGUAACUUUUUUUUUUUACUUUUCUUGCUUUUUCACCACCUUAUCUUUUUUUUUUUUUUUGUUUCUCUACAAAAUAGUUUAUGGCUUCGUUAGUUCCUAUCGCCUGUGGUGAUUGCCUUUUUUUGGUUUAAAUAAAAAUAAAAUAGAAACCUAAAAUAUAUAUACUCGAAACCCUUAAAAAUUUUGCUACCAAAAGAUUUUGUUGAAUGUUUCCCAUUUAUAUUUCUUCUCAACUCCUUUCUCCAAUACAAAACUCACAAAAGAAAAUCCUAACUAUCUAAACCCAAAACACCAUAAAAAACUAUAAAAAAAAAAAAAAAAAACUCUUAAUUUUUUAGCUUUUUUUUUUACUCUGUCUCUUUUGAUUUUUUUUAGUUGAUUCUUGAUUGUUCCUAAUUGAUCAUAAUGGGAUCAUUUUAUAGGCUUAUAAUCUUGAUUACAAUAAGAAGAUGAGUUUUUUUUGUUUGAAUCUCCUAAUCAACUCCAACCUUGGAUUUUUAAUCCAAAUUCACCUUUCAAACCAAUUCCCUAUUAUAAUUUUUUUUUUAAUUAGAACACUUUCAAUUCAACAACACAAUUAGAAUUAAACCAUCUUCACGUUUCAAUAAAAUAAUUUUUUUCAAUUAAUAAUAAUAACUCUAAACUAAAUACAAAAUCAAAAAUAAAUAAAUAAAAUUUAAAAUCUAAUAUUAAAAUAUAAAUUGACCCCAUUGGAGUGUCUACACUAACAAUGUUCAAUAUUCUUCAAGAAGAAAGACCAAAGUGAUGCAAAACCAACUCUCAUUUUCACUACAAGUUUCAGAGUGUUCUGCCCCCAUUUCUAAACUGGAAAACAGAAAAACAGCAAUUACAUACCAGGAAGAUCUUGACUGAUUAAUCUCAAUGUAACAAAUAGUUAACAACAAAGACCAACAAUCAAAUUCUGUCCUGAAAACCUUAAAAUUUUCUUUUCAAGAGCCAAUCAGAUAAAAGCCCAUAAAUAUAUCCGAUUGAAAAAUCUUGAAAAGGAUCCUAUAAAUUAAUUUCGAUGCAACUAAAAAAUAUUUCUGAAAGUUUCAGAUAGUAAACUUUAUGUUUUACAGUUUUAGUUUUACUCACAUUCAGAGAAAACUUUGGGUCAUUAUUCAAUUAACAAAAAUUCAAGUAAUGUUGUAUAAGAAGUUUACAUUAAACCACGAGAAAAUUCCCACAGGUUUCAUACAUCCAAAAACUAUAGCCAAACUAAUGAAAACCACAGAAAAAAAAAAUAAUGAAGGUUCAGCACAUACCCUCAAAAGAAAGAGAGGCAGAAAGAAAAUUCCGGAUGUCAAAUGCAAUUGAAAGUGGAAAUGACGGAUAUGAAGAAACCUCGAAUAACUCAGUUAACCCAUAUAAGUUCAAAUUCAAAGGGGAAAAAGUUGUAAAACCGUGAUUUGAUUGCCCACAUUUUGGUCGUUGGUUUCUAAUCGGAGGGUUGCUAUUUGCACCCAACAUUUACUUAACACGUUCCACUACAUUUAACAUUUUAUUUUUUACUCACCAUACUCCACAUUCAAAACUAAAAUUUAUCAAAAUGUCCAAACACCCCAUUCCUCACUAUGUUACCAUAAACACUAAAAAUUUGAAGCUAAAUUCAAAAAAAAAAAAAUCAUCCAUUUGAAGUUAGAAAGUUUAUACUAAAAAGUAAAUCAUUUUUUUUUUAUGUUUUUUCGUUUUAUUCUUAUUUAGUUUCAUAAAAUUUAAAGUUUAAGUGUUUCAUUGCGAUUCGAAAUUUUCAAAAAUAUAUUUUCACAACUUUCAAAGCUUUUCAAAAAUAAAUGUUUAGAAAACUUUAAUAGUUUUCGAAAAUAAAUAUUUUCGAAAAUAAAUAUUCAAAAGCUUUUAAGAUCUUUUGAAAAUGAAUUUUUAAAAAACUUUCAAGGCUUUUGGACAUUCAUUUUAAAAAAUUAACUUGCCGAUCAUCAUCUCCAAAUCUUUAUUGUUGCAAUUGUUUCUCUCACAUUCAUUUUUCAUUUUAACAGUAUACAAGAUAUUAUAAAUUUCGGUUGUAAAUUUUGAUAACAAUGCAAUUUGUUGUUGUGAAGAAGAAAAAAAAAGAAAACUACUGCAAACCUGGGAAUUAAAAAAAAUGUGUGUAAAGAAUAAAAAAAAUAAUUGAUUAAUGGAUAUUUAAAUAAUUUUAUUAAAAAUUAAAUUUAUAAUAAAUUUUUUUGGAUACUAAUAGAGCCCCUCUUCUAAAGGUAGCUUGACUGACAAUGGAAUUACAAACGGUGGAUGAUGGAAUUCCCACUAUGUCCUCUUUCAUUUUUUUGUUUUUAAAUUUUAUAUUAUUUAUAUCUCUUCAAUUUUCAAUUUAUGAUAUUAUUAUAAAAUUUUAAAAUUGAUUUUUUUAGGAAAAAUGAUGAAUUUUUAAUUAAAGAUAGAUAAAUACAUGUAAAAAGACAUUAGAAUAUUAUUAUUGUUCUUAUAUAAUAUGUAUGCUUUCGGUUUUGUCAACUUAUUAAUGUUGAUUUUUUUUCCAUAAAAAAAAGUAGUAUUGAUAUUUUUAAUGUUAAUCAAUAAUAUAAAUACACAUGUAAUUGAAAAAAAAAAACUACCCGUUUGAUACUUACAUAACCUUUUUCUCACUUAUUUUUUUAUAUUUUUAUUAUUUUUUCACAUGUAUAGUGAGUGUGCCAACAUCAAACUAUCAAUAAUGGAGGAAAAUUACUAAAUUAUUAUGAGACUUUUUUUUUCAUUUUGUUGAAUAAAAGUUAGGCAAUCACCUUCAAAAAUGACAUUUAAUAGAUAUAAAAUUCAAAAUUUAACAUUUUAACUUUUUGUUGCAUAUGGUUGUUAUGAUUUUCUAUAUAAAAAAUUAAACGAGUUAGGAAGAAAGUUAAUGCUUUGUUUAUUUCGCAAAAAAUGAUUUCAGAAAAAUAAUUUUUAUAUUUUCAAGUAUUUAUUUAACAAUUGAUUGAUUAAUGAAAACUGAUUUACUGAUCAAUAGAAAAUUAUGUCAUUUUUUUAGAAAUUAUCUUCCUUUUUUCAAAAGGAGAAGAUAAUUUUUUAAAAAGAAUUAUUUAUGAGUAAAAUUAUUUAUCAAUAUAUUUGAGCAUAAUUUUACUUAAGUUAGACUUUAUACAUUAUUUUUUAAGCUCAAACUUAAUUUGAUAUGAUCUAAAAUAUUAUUAUAUUAAUCAAUAAUAUUUUUAUUUAAUUUUACUUAAAAAUUAAAAUAUUAAUAUAAAAGUCUUUUAAUAUUUUAAUUUUAAAUAUUUUAUGAUUUUACUCAAGUAAGAUUUUGAACAUAAUAUAUUAAUUUUGAACUUGAUUUGAUUCAACUAUAAAUAUUAUUAUAUUAAUAAAACAUUAUAUUUCAUUUUAAUUAAAAAAUUAAAAUAUUAACAUUAAAAGUCUUUUGAUAUUUCAAUUUUAAAUAUUUUAUUUUUAUACUAUUAAACAUAAAUAUUUUUAAUAUUUUAAUUAAGAAAUAGUAGUAUAUUAUUAUUUAAUAAUAAAUAAUAACAUAUAUAAUAAUAUUUUUAUUGUAUUAAUUAAUUAAUAUUAAAUAUAUAAUAGUAUUUUUUCUUAGUAUAAAUAUUUUAAAUAAUUUCUUAUUAUUUUAGUUAAAAUAUAUAAUUUUAUAUUUAAUUAUUAAGAUAUUUAUAUUACUAUUUUAAUAAUAAAUAUAAAUAAAGAAAGAUUUUUGUUAUAAUUCAAUAAUAGAUACUUUCAGUAUAAAAUAUAAAUAUUUUAAUAAUAAAUAUUAUUAUUUUAUUAUAAAUAAAAAUAAUAUUUUAAGAAUAGUACUACUAUUUAAAUAUUUUUAAAAUAUUAAUAUAAAAAUAAUAAAUAGUUUUAUUUUAAGUUUUUUUAUAUUAAUAUAAUAUUUUAAUAUUAAAUAUUUUAUUAAAAUAUAAUUAUUCUUCAAUAUUAAUAAUUUUAAUAAUAAAUUAUUUAAAUAUACUUUAAUAAUAAAUAAUUUUUAAUAUUUUAAUAUUUAUAUUAAUAUUAUUUGAAAAGAAAAAAUAUUUAAAAAAAUUAAAUAAUUAAAAGUAUUUUUUAUUAACUCAUUUAAACAACAAAAUAUUUUUUGAAAGUUAAUCUCUGUUAAUCUAAACUAAGGAUGAUAAAUCUACCUAUAACCAACGGAUUCUGACCCGAUGCCAUCUCCAAGCUCAAUUCCAUUUCAUCGAACAUCCAAAAACCAAAAUUUAGUUCCCAAACCCUUUCAAAUAGUUAAUCUGUCACCUAAACUACAUAUCACAAGGCCCAAACUAAAAACAUGAAAGAUGAGGAUUCAAUGUGCCGAAAAAGAAAAAGGAUUCCGGCUUUAAGGGAAAUUGGUCUUCUUAUUUUGGUCCAUUGAGCUAAUCAGGCCUGGAUCUAAGCUAACAAGUUGAUCCAAAAAAUUAUAAAUAAUUUUCUUCUAUAUAAUUUAACUUAUAAAUUAUAUUACUUUUAACAACUUGAUAUUUAUAAAAAAUUUAUUUUUAUCUAAUAUUUUAUAUCAUUGAUUAAUACUUUUAUCAAAAUAUUAACAUGAUAAAUAUUGACUAAUAAAAUAUAACACAUGUCGUGAUAUUAUUAGUUAUUUUUUUAAUAUAUUAAUAGAAUGUGUGUGUGAUAAAAUAUUUAAUGAAAAAAAUUUAGAAAUUUAAUUAUAAAUUGUUUUAUAAAUAUCAAAUACUAAAAAUAUAAUUUAUCAUCUAAUUCUUUUACAGAAAUUCUUCAUCUAAAUCACAAAUUAAUUUUUUAUACUUUAUAUAUAUAAAAGCGUGUUGCAGUACUAAGCUAUCAAGAAAAAAAGAAAAAAAUAAAAGCUACUUUUGCAGUGGAUUUCUAAGAAGGUGUCGAGUCUUUUCCAAAGCGACACGACAUUGACCCGUGUCUCAACUUUUUUGGUUUUUUUUUUUAAUUGAUUUUAUUAUUAUGUUUUUUAUUUAUCUUUUACUCUCCUUUUUUGGUGGCAGUAUUUGUACAAGUGGAGACAGAAAAUGCUAUGAAACAGAAACAGCUGCCUUUUUUUUUUCCGUGUAUCGUGUUCUACAAGCUGAUUAGCUUUUCAGUCAUCCUUCAUAUGAUUUUGUUUCCCCUUUUUAUAAAGAGUACUGUUUUGAUUGUUGAUAUAUUGUUAGUAUUUUUACUAUUCAUUUUUUUAUUUUAGAUAUAAAAUGUUGAAAAAAAAUGUGUUUAGUUUUAAUAAAGUGAAAUUUUAAUUUUGAAUAAUUAAAAUUUUUAUUUAAAAUUUUGAAGAAUGCACCAUAAAUAUUUAGUUCUAUAUUCUUAUAAAGUAAUUAUAUAUAAAAAAAAUUAAUUCAUAUGAAGUUUUUAGUCAAUUAUGAUUUGUUAUUAUUUGUUGCAACUUUUGAAUAAGGAUAUUGGGAUUUAUAAGAAAAGAGAAGAGAUAUUAUUUCCAAAAUCUAUGAAUUCCUAAUUAAUUAAACUUUUUUUUUUCAAGUAUUAAUAAAAAGAUAACUUUUCUUUGGAAUUUAAGAUUUUUUUCCAUGUCUGUCUCUAUCCCAAAUCUCAAUAGUCUUUUCUUUAUCAAAAUUUUCUUAUUAUCAUUGUGAUUAGAAUUUGAAUUCGAAAACUUCGAUUUUAAAGUCAAGCUUCAGUGUCAUUGAAUUCAUUGAUUUUUACCAUAUAAAUUAACCACGUUACAGCCACAAAUAUUAAACUCAGUUGUCGUCCUCGUUAAUAUCAUCAAACACUUGAAAUCUAUUACGUCUUGAUUAACAUGAUGACCUUCAUCUAUUAUUGCAAUUGUUUUCCUUGUCCUCUUUUAUCUUAAUUUUUAUAACUUUCUCUCCUUUUCAUUCCUUUGUCCCUUUGAGGUUGAAAAUUUAAGAAAAUCCAAUGCCUUGAAAGCCAAUCCCAAAACAUUGUUUAUGGUCUUAAAAUUUCACAUGGAAGGUUUCUGAUCAGUUCAAAACCGAUAUAGAGGAUGAUGUUUAAUUUGCUUCCAUUGUUUGGUCAUUUCUGUGUGUAGUUAAAGCAGAAAUUAUCAAUUUUGUCACAGGUUUCAUUGAUGGAAAGUAGGAAGAAAUUGGCAACAUCUUUUUCAUUUGGAUUUGUUGAUCAUAUUAUUAUUAUAAUAAUAUUAAUUAAUUAUUUUGGAUUAAGAACGACAGUAAAGAGUAAUAAUGAAGGAUUAAAAAUGAAAGAUUUUAGCCAACUUUAGACAAGGGUAAAAUGCUAAAAAGAAAGGCAUGCAAUAUUCUUCAUACUGUCAUGAUCGUGGCUAGCUCAUGUGAUAUAUAUGAGCAUCGUCUUCGGUUCCAGGAGGAACCUCCAAUUAUUGGAAUCCGAUGUUUAAAUUAUAUCAUUAAUACCUGUAAAUUAAUGUUAUUCCCUUUUCAUUUUUAUGAAACUAUGUUUGGUCAGUUUAUACUUUAAUUUUGUGCCAAAUAUCUUUUAAUUCAGAUAUUUAAUAUAUUGAUAAGGAUAUUUGAGGGUUUAGGGGAGUUUUAAGUAUUGCAUAUUUUGGGAAGAGAAAAAGGAAGAGAAAAAAAGAGUGUUUAAUGUAACCUUUUUAUUUUUUUUUAUAAAAAAAAUCAACAAUUAAAACCUAAGAAAAGUAAAAAAUUAUCAUUGUAAAUGAUCGAAUUCUAAUUUUAUGAAAAUAUAUAUGUUAAAAGAGAUAAAUGAAUAUUUUGAUUGAAUUUCAAGUUCAAUCUAAGAUUUUUUUUUUUUUUUUGAAAAGAGGUUCAAUUCAAGAUUUUCAUGAUCACGAAAAAGAGAUGCCAAACUAAUUAAAUAAUGCAAUAUCGAAACAAAAAGCAGACUUAUAAUUAUCGAUAUGACUUAAGAGUCUCAUUGCAUUUGUAUUUACUCAAAAUGAUUGUACUUUGGUAAGGGUUAGGUGCUUUUUGGCUUUUGUUUCUCUUUCUAGUUGAAUCUGUCUCGUCCAUCACAUGUGCAAAUAUGACCACAAUUUUUUUGUGACAAGUGGGGAUCAAUGGAACUCUGGAUAACAUAUAUAUAUCCACCAAAUAAUUAUUAAUUUUGUACACCAAUUAAUAAUACAAAUAAUAAUGUCUUCUUACAUUCAUGUGAGUUUUAUAUGUUUUACAUGUGAAGUUCACGUGAGAAUGUAAGAAAAUCAAACCAAUCAUUUUUAAUAUUCUUAAAACUAUUGUGGGAUAUUAUUUGUGAAGGUCUUCAAUGGUUUUUCUAAUUUCCAAUAUUAAAGGUAUUAAUUAAUAGGAUUAAUAGAGACAGUAUAUUUAUUUUUUAUUUUAUUAACUCUUUACAAAAAUACAUGAAGGACACCUUUCUCUUACAUUAGGACAUAUCCUAAUCGAUUAGCGUUAUACCUUUUCAAAUAAUAUAGUAGUACACUUACUUUGAAAGGUAAAACUUAGAAGUAGAAGAAUAUUGUUUAACUACUGUAAUUUUUUAUUUAUCCUAAACUUUAUAAAAUGCUUUUAGAUUUAAGUUAUAAGAAAAAUAUAAAAAUUGGGUUCUUUUUACCACUUACAAAAUUAUUUAUUUACAAUAAGGUUAUUCUCAUAGCCUAUAUAUAAUUAUUUUAUACAUGUGAAAAUUUAAGGAAAAAGAGAAUUUGAACUUUUGCUAGGAUUAAAAAUAUUACUUUUGUCCAUAAUUUUAGAGAAGUUAAUCAUUUCGCGGAUUCUCUUACUAAGAUGAAAGUGCAUUGAACAUGCAAUUUUAUAGCCUGGCUGUAAUAGCCUUUUAUUAUGAAUAAAAUAAUUUAUUUUACCUAAAAAAAAAAAAAGGAGAGAGAAUUCAAAGUUUAAGUUUGGAAAGAUGAAAACAAUUUAAGUUAAGUUUGGGUUGUUAUAUUCUAUAAUUAUAAAUAACACUGAAAAAAGAAGAAAAACUCAUGCCUUAAUUAUAUUAUUCAAAGUGCCUAAUACAUUAAACUCCUUUUAAAGUUCUUUGCCUGUUAGAUUCUCCAAUAAAAAUCAUGUCAUGUAUUAAAAUUAUUUACUCAAAAUUUAGGGAUGGAUUGAAGAUAGAAAAUUAUAUUAAGUGUAGCCAGUUAUACUUUUAACAUCGUAUGUGAUUUUAUUAGCUAGGAAAUGCUAUAGCGAAUUUCAAAUAAAUUAACUUCAAUAUAAGUUGUAUCCUUGUACAUUUGUUAAUCGGUUUUUGCUUUGACGUAUCAAUUUUUUUUUGUGCUUGCGUCCAUAAUUGCAAAAUUUUACAUUUCGUUAUAUUUGGGUAGAUAUUUUAAUAAUAAAAAAGAAAAGUAAAACACAAUAAAUAAGAAAAGAAUUUCAUGUAAACUUAAUAAUCUGUUUUUGAAGCAUCAUAACCGGAGUUUAAACUCUACAUUGGAUUUGCAUGCAUGCAACCUUGUUUAAGUGAUCUCAUUUUCUAUAACAAAUUAUGAAUACUAAUAAUAAUAUGAUGAUUUUUGUAUAUAUCAUUAUUUUAGUGUAUUUUCAACUAUAAAAGUUACUUUUUAACUAAUGAAUUUUUGGUUAAAACGCAAAUAACAAGGAGUGAAUUUUGUUUAUAUUUUGCAUAUUAAUGAUUUUGUAUUUUGAUUAUAGCCGGUGUAUGAAGCUAUCUAAAUAUUAUAAGAAAUUUAAUUAGGAGAUUCACUGCAUUGCCAAUGGAGUAUAAAAUUUCACAAGCAAAUUUGCACUUUUUGUUUAUAACUGUCCAUAUAAUUAUAUAUAAAAUAUUAAUUUUAAUCUAGAAGUUAAAAUAUAUAUUUAAUGAAAUGUAAACUUGGGAAAUUAACAAAACUUGUUUGUCAAAUUUUCGCAUUUUUAAAUUAUGUAUUGAAUAAUAUAUGUAAUCCUUAAUUAGAAUUCUUUUUAAUCUUUGAAUUUAAAAUAUAUAUAUAUACAUUUUUAUUUAAAGAAGACCAGUAAAGAAUAAUUAUAUGCUUUAUAUGUAAAUAUAUAUAUAUAUAUAUAUUUUAAAACGCCCAAUGUUGUAUACAAAAAAUAAAUAAACCCUAAGCUAAAAUAUAUACACACAAUCUUUUAACAUCCAACGUAACAUGAGUUGUAUCGUCGAAGGCAAACACCACACCAACAUCACAAAUCAACAAAUGGCAGUUCUUUUUUUUUUUUUGUGUGUGUUUCUCUAAAGUAUGCAACAUUUUUCAUAGGAAAACCAUAUUGUUGUUAUCAUUAAUCUCAAAUCUCAUGUCCUCCAAGUUGGAAGCCACCCCAUGAACAUGAUGAUCUCCAAAGCUGUUUUCUUCCAUGCUCAUGUCCCAAAAGAACUCGUAAUCAUCAUUAACUUUGGAGCUAACUUCAUUGCUGUAGGGAUUGUUGUUAUUGUCCUUUUCCUGAGAAAUAUUGUAUUGAAGCAGGUUUAGCAAGCUUUGGCCAUGGCUUUGGUGGGCAGGUGUGGUGGAUAAAGAGCUGAUUUGUUGAUACCCACAAGGCAUGCUUGUUUGGUCUGUUAAAGAAGGGUCACGAGUUGAAGUCUCGAACAUCAUCGAGGGGCUGAGUUUGGUGCUGUUCUCGCCCUUGCUCUUGUUAAAAACUCUACAUAAAACCCAGUCUUCCUGUCACAUGACAAAAGAUACUACUCUUAUGAGCCGAAAAUAGAGUACGACCACUAACAUUUAAAAAAACUAUCAUUUAUAUUUAAAUCAUCUACAGUUCAUGUCAUUGUGAGUGAUCAAACUGAUGCAGUCUCAAAACAAAAAAAAAAGAAAAGAUUUAUUUAAUUACGUUUAUAUAUAGUAAAUGCAUAUAAAAAAGUAAAAUAAUUGAAUUUGAUUCUCUAUUUAAACACACUAUAGUUAAGUAGUAUCUACAUUUUAUUAAAAAUAUAUUAUAACAAAAGGUAAACAAUAUAUAUUAUAUUCCAAUCAAAAGGGAAGUACACAAGCAACAAUACUUGUAACAACUAAGUAUCAUGCCACAUGUAUAUAUAUACAUAUUCCAAAUCCGCAUGUAAAGAAUAAUUUUCAUAAAAAAAAUAUUUUCACAUGAAUAAUUAAAAUGAUAAUGAAUGUAUAUAUAUAUAUAUACAUAUAUGUAUAUAUAUAUAUAUAUAUGCCUUGGUGAUAAGCCUCAAACAUCACUCUCUUAUGCUAUUCCUUGGACAACUUGAUUAUGAGAACACGUGGAACAGAGCAAGUGGACAACUUGCAUAGGGCCACUAAUUUUUGUUAAGUUUCCUUAGAGAAAACACGAUAUUUUAUUCACAUACAUAUGGCUGCAAUAAUCGACCUCUCUCUCUCUCUCUCUCUCUCUCUCUCUCUCUCUCAUAGUCAUUUUCUACAUAAACAGGUAUGGGAUGAGUAUAGUUGAAAAGAGCAGCGAGUGAAACUGACCUUAGGAGGCAUAUGUGGGGUCUCGAGGCGAAAUUCAUGCAUGAUCCAACCCGUUUUGAUUCCAUUGGGAGCUCUGUUCCUGUAAAACACCAAUGUCUUUCUCAUCCCUACAACCUCUUGUGUUCUUGGGUCGACUACCGUUCGAUCCUUCCCUGUUGCUUUCCAGUACCCAGAUGUCGUUGCCCGAUUCGUUCGGAACCCCGUGGCGUACUUUCUGUCACGAAAGCUGAAGAAGUACCACUCGUUUGCGUUCAACUUUGCCAUCUCUUUAAUUUAAUCAAGUCCCAUGCGUACACAAAACACAUAGUUUAUUGAUUAUAAUUAGUUUAAUUUCAUUCCUAGUUAGACAGUACAAAUUAUAUAGAAUUAAUUAUAUAAUCUAUCUAAGAGACAGCAAAAUGGGUGAGUUUACAUCAAGCUUUGCUAUGGAAUUUUAUUUUUCUUUCAAAAUCAACAAAAAAAAAUAUCAUCUUUUCACUAACUUUUUCGCCUUACUUGAAUUACUGAGAGUGUUGGCAAGUCUUUGUCACCUUAUGAGUUAUGUCUAAGAAAGCUAAGGAUUUGUCUGGCUAAGGGAAAAAAUUCUAUAAGAACUAACAAUACUUUCUUUGUUUGCCUUGGACGAUAGUAUUAAAAACUUAAAAGUGAUGUUUUGGAGAAUUCUGAGGAAGCAAACGCUCCCUUAGUAAUUGCUUAUAACAGCUAAUUGAGAUAAAGUUGUCUUAUACUUCGAAUAUCCUAAAUAUACAAACUUUAAGACAAAAUAACUAAUAGUUACGUACAGACUUCUUUUUACUAAUCGAUUUAUAGUUAAGAAAUCGUAUCUUAUAAGUUUUUAAAGAAUCCUAUCUUUUCAUUUAACCUAAAAAAAAACUACCACGGGUCAAUAAAUUAAAUGCGAAAAGGAAAUUUAAAGAGACAAGUGGCUUCUAUUGAUAGGUCACAUUUUAGUCCAAGAUCACACUCAACAUUUAGCGAUUGUGUCUUAUGUAAAUUUCUCUAUUAAAGCAAUGACCAAGUAACUUAAUUAACUGGCAUGAGAUUGCAACAGGACUUGCCAAUUUAGUCCAUCCACAACAUUAUUCCUAAUGAACACGACUACAUAAAUUGGAAAGUGCACGAGCUAGCACAAAGACAGAGAGAAGUAGAGAAACUAAGAGGAUAUAUCGGCAAAGGUAUGGUAUAUUGCGUAUGAAUACCUUAUAUAUCUACAGUUUCUGUUUUAAAUCAUAUAUAGAGGAGAUAUAGGCAUCGUCACCCUUUUUGACAAAGGGAAAAUAUGCAAAACUUUGAAAAGAUGAAAUCUCCCACUUGUAGGUUUUAAAGGAAAAUAUAUAUCCAUGAUUUUAUUAGGCUAUAGUUAGUAAAAUGUCUAACCCGAAUCAAAUCAAAGGGUGGAAAUUUUUUUUUGCUUUUAGUUCUUGCAAUGUGCCGAAACAAAAGCAUAAACAAAAGAGAGAAAAAAACAAACAAUCCUUACCUACAUGACUCAAGAAGUGGGCAUUCUGUAUUUCUAUUCAAGGGAAUGAAGAUGAAUAAAAUUACAGAUACAUACAUACAUAUAAAUAUAUAUAUAUAUAUAUGUUUAUGUAUAUGACAAUUGCAUACAUAUAUACUUAGCUACAUGCAUGUGUAUAUGUUUCUAUACGUGUGUGAGUAUAUAUAUUCUAAGAAAAUUCAUGUGCUUCCUUUCGCAUUCUCUCUCUCUUUCUCUUUCACUUUCUCUCAUAGGAAAAAACGUGUUUACUUGUCUGCUGUUUCUAACAGCUAACAUGACAGACGGCACCAAAUGUUUGCCUGCGCCCUGUACCUGAGAGAAGAACUCAAUAAUUUUCCUCCUCUCUGUUUGUCUUUCAAACAUGUUAAAACACACGCCUAACAGACCUUCCUAGUUUACUUAAACUGUUAAUAUCAAGCAAAUGAUUAAUGUUUUCUUUAGCUUUAAUGAAACAUUAAUUUUAGCGAAAAGCCGAAAGGCGGAAACAUCCUGAAUUCAGGGGAGGAUAGAAUCAUAGAAAACGAUGAAAGAAUAAGAUUCCAAAGCAACCCUAAAGGGGAAACCAUGGAAGGAAUUUAAUUUGUAUAAUUGAUAAAAAGGAGAGACGACCUACCAGGAAGCUGCCAUGGCUCACAUGAAUGCAAAUCAAUUUCCACCAAAGUACCCUUCAAGACUUCUUCAUUAGCAAUCUUUUUGUAGAGAUAAUGGCAGACCAACUCCUCAUCGCUUGGAUAAAACCUAAACCCGGGAGGCAGUGUAGCUCCAAUGUCCCUUAGUCCCAUAUUUAUGUUGCCAAGAAGGAAAAAAGGGAGGUGGUGGGUGGGAAAUAAAUUAGAAAAAGAAACUUUAUUUUUUUCUUUGAGAUCUUUGGUAUGGGAGGGGAAAUUUUUAAUGAGUGAAUAAAUUUAAGGUAGGAGAUGGAAUUUAAAUGAAGGUAUGGUAUGAUUUUCUUUGUUUAGGACUUGAAAAUAUCAUAUGGAAGAGGGAAGGUUUGCAUUGUGUGUAUAUAUAGCUAGUUUGGGAUGACAAUUAAAACUGCCUUUGCCAGUCAGAAUUUCUUACAAUAUUGUAGCUAGCAUGUGUAGGGAUAGGGGCAUGCUUGUGUAACUUGUUAGCUAUAAUUGGGAAAUUUCAAGAAAAACCAAAGUUACAAGAAAUCUACUUUUAUUGUGGGUGUUUUGGAGGGUAGAUCAACUGAUCAUGCCAAUACAUUCAUAUGGACAAGAUCCAAAGAAUUUUAUUACAGAAACACUCCAAAACACCCCUUUUUAUCUAUGAUAUUUAAAUGGAUUAUUUAUGUAAAAUAAUAAAUACAAGAUAAAAAAAAUAUUCUAGGGGUACUGCAUAUAUAUUUAUAAAAGCCAGGGUAUAUAUUUAACAAUAUAUAUAAUUCACUAACUUGAAUGGAAAUUAAUCCCUUUAAAAGGAAAUAUUUCAUCAAACCAAUCAUACACAAGGUACAGUAAUUUCCAUGGUCAUUAUCAUUUACUUUUGUUUUGAUAACGAUUCUACUUUGUGUGGUUUAUAAGUUUCAUUAACCUUUUGCAUUUUUUUCUGAUUAUUUUGUUUCACUGUGUCUUUAUAUAUAAAUAGUUGCUAUUCAUUGGACCACGUGUCACCAAAUAUAAAGCAAAAGAGUAAAAGAGAAGCUAAGUAGAAUUUUGCAGACAAAAUAAAUUAUUCUAUUGAACAAUUAGAAAAAGAUUAUUCAAUAUUCAGCAGCAUUUUAAUUAAAUAGUAUGAUGCCAAAGUGCUUGAUUUCAUUGGUUAAAAAAUAAUUGCAAAACUUGCCAAUUAAAUCCAAGGGUGGGCAUGUACUUAUUUUUCAUACUUUUGAAAUAAUAAUUAAUUGGUCGGACAAUUCCGUAAAAGGGGGGCCAUUUUUAUCAUCUUGAUCAAUAGAAAAGGGUUCAAAAAGCCUAAUGUCCCCAACCACGUGAACCAUGAUUGGUCUCUCAGCAAGAACACAGACAGCUCAAGGGAAAAAAAAAUAAAACAAAAAGAAAGGAAUGAGAAAAUAAAUAAUCAGAAUUAAUAGCUGGAAUAAUUUAAAAAAUAAAUAAUGUUAGUAAUUACUUAAGAGAGAGAGUCCCGUCUACUCAAAUUUUGAUCACAUAAUUUUGGAUGGAUGCAAAUCAAAUACCAGUGGGCCUCAUGGCUUGUAUUUGAUCUGGGGUCCACUAAUGAUGAAGGACUUCAGACCCAUCAUAUAAGAAACACACAAAAAUAAUAGUGAAUUUAUAUUUUUAUAUUAAAUAAUAUUAUUCAAUCAAUAAUUAAGGUAAUUUUUUGUCAACAAAAAUUUAAUAUUUAUGAAAAAUAUUUUACAAGUAAAAUUCUAAAUAAGUGCAUUCUUAAAGUCAUUUUAAAAAGAGAUUAAAUUCGAAUAAAAUCUAAUAAUAAAAUCGUUUUAUAAAAAUAAUAAUAAUAAUAAUAAUAAUAAUAAUACAAUUUGGUUGAUUUGUCUUUUUUGAAGUUUGGGUAGUGUUAGAAAGGCAAUAAUACUAAUAAUUUAAAUAACUAUAGAAAUGAGGACAAAACGAUACUUAUCACAACAUGUGUCAUCUGAUGAUAAUAAUUAGGGGAUGGUAUAUAGUAGAUGAUGACUGGACUGGCGGUCUCCAACACUACACAAUUAGAUUGAAAUAAUGGAGUUCCAAAUUUCAUUAUUACUAUACUAAUGAUUGGGAAAAAAAAAAACUUUAGAUUUAAUAACAAUAUCUAAAUAUACAAAUAUAUUUAUACGUACAUAUUGAUAGCAAAAUAUCGAUAUUUCCCUUGUGAUUUUCUGAAAGGGGAUAUAACUUGCUUAGGCGGUCGAGGUGGCUACCUAUCUAGAUGAAGAGUCAUUAUCUGCAUUAGAUAAUAAUUAUUGCAUUAUUAUUAGAGAAAAAUUAACUUAUAUAAAAGAAUUUUAUACAUUUUUUAAUUAUUAAUUUUAAUAAAUUUAAGGGAAUUAUUUUUCUUUUUUCAUUUUUCUUUCUCAUAUUUUAGAUUUAUUGAGUUCAAUAAUUAAAAAAAUAUAAAACCUUUUGAUUUCAAAUUGAUGUUAGUUAACCUCUCUUAUUAUUAUUAUUAUUAUUAUUAUACAGGUUAAAUUUUGAUUUUGAUCUCUUUGAUUGUUGUCGGAAAACAAGGAUAAUAUUUAAUGUGUAUCUAUUUGGCAGCACAUAUUUAUGAGCUGAUCAUGAAUUAGCAUAUGAAAGUGAGCUUCUUGUCAUAAUCAUAAUCUAAUUAACUUUGGAUUAUCAAUCAAUGUUUCAUCAAACAAAAAACCAUAAAUGACUAAAUGAAAAAAACUUGGACAGAAAUAAUUGACUCAGAAAUUUACAAGAAAUAGAAAGAUGCAAAGAAGAAGAGUCAAAAGUUGGUCAUUCAGUUAUAUAAAUGGUUGAGCUUAUAUACAACAUACAUACUAUAAUAUAAUUUUUUUAUAAAAAAAAAAAUUACUAUAUUUAGUAUCAAUAUUUCUUUUUUUUUAUAAAUAAAAAAUUAAGACCUAAAUUCACGAGACGUGGAAGCCGCCGGAAGACAUGUGAUCCACAUAUUAAGGUACACGUCACAAGGAGGGGAUGACGUACCGAUUAUUCUAAAAUAAAAUAAUGGAGAGAACAAAAUGAUUGUCGUGAGUUAGUUCUAGGGUUAGGGAUUUGUUUUCCAAUUGGGGGGGGAGGGGGAGGGGAAGUUGAUGUUGGGCGAUGAGUGACGGCUUCAUAUUCCUCUUUGGAACCAAUAAUUUCCAUUUUCCAAUCUCUCUGGCCCUUCCCUUUCAAAAGUGUGUCUUUUUUACUUGAUACACUUCCAUAAGUUAUGGGCUUCUCAUUCAUCUCAUCCCCAAUGUCCCGUCAUUAAUUACUAAGUUACAUAUUUUUUCCAUCUGGAUUGCGCCAACUCAGCCGCCUCCGAAAGCAUGUCUCGGAACCCCCACGUGGCUUUCUCUAAUGUCCUUUCGCUACUUGUUCUUAGUUAGCGAUUGGUCUUAUCAAAUCAUCAAUAAUCAACGUGCUCCAUAUUUAUGCCUAUAAACUAGUAUGAUUUCAUCGCUAAUAACAUGAUUUGUUAGUAAAAUAUAUGUUAAAUUUUUAAUUUUAAUAAUUAUGAUUUAAAUUUUGAUAAUUUUAAAUAGUAAAGAAUAUUAUAAUUUUAAUGAUUAUCUUAAGAUUUGCAUACUCAAUUGUGGAGGAAAAAUUUUUUUUUUCUUUCAACUUGUUUAAUUAUGUUAAUUAUUUUAUUAUUCCUUAAUUAAAGGACGGUCUUAUACGAACAAAAAUAGGGAAUAGUUUUCUUCUUUCCUUCGUCUUCCUAUAUGAGUUAAUUAUGGAAGAAGAAUCAAAGAACCAUGCUCUGCCCUUUUAAUUUUUAUCUUCAUAUUUUAUAAUAUAUGAUUUUUUUUAUUUCAAGAUGCAGUAGCAAUAUUCCUCCCAUUUUUAUACAAUCCUUUCUUUAUUAUAUUUUCUGGUGGCUGCAUGAUAUUUUAAGCUUUAUUUACUAUUAUUUCCCAGCAAUUUCCUAAAGAGUUAUAACAUUAAUUAACUGUAUAAAUAUGAAAAGGAUCUUAGAAAAACAAACCCAGACAGCAGCCAGGCAGGCAGGGGGGUAAGUCUUAAAACUUUAUCUAAAAAUAAGUAGUAUUUUUAUAAAGAAAAGUUGGCCGAGUCAUGGUGAAAUGGCAGAGGAUAUAUUGAUAUGAACUUUACCCUGAUUCUCAAGAAACGAAAUAACUUUUGGAAAUUAUAUAAUUUCUUCUCUGAUCCAUAUUUGUCAAAUAUUCGGGAAUAAAUUAACUUUAUUUGCAUCUUCCAUGCAUAACUUUUUUUCAAAGAAAAGUAAUCUUUAUUCACUUUAUGCAGCACUUUUGAAAUUUGUGGUAAGUUGAUGAAAUCGUUGUUGAACGGUGGCUAAUGCUACUUUUAAUAUGAUCGAACUUUAUCUAGAAACAGACUUUCCUUCUGCUUUUGUGAACAGAUAAAACAUGUUCAAGCCUACCUUUCUGCAAAUCUAUAAGCAAAAAAAAAAAAAACCUUUACUUGAUUUUCUUUAUCGUUUGUUUUGCUAACCCAUGGCUGGGUUUGAAACAACAUUUCUUGUUCGUACUAUAAUUAAAUAUUUUUACUGUUCAUAAGGUUGGUUUUCUUUUAAUCAUCAAGCCUUUACUGGGAAGGGUUUAUUAUAUUGUCUACUCAUACCUCAAUGAAAAUUUACAUUACAUUUAUAAAUCGUUCAUUAAGAGAAAUUGUUGAUUACAUAAAACAAAUUUAAAUCUUAUAAAUAAAAUAUCCAAUCAUUAUCAAUUGAAUCAAUAUCGGUGACUUGUCUUUAAAUACAGUAAGGAAGCAAUAUCCCAUAUUUAUUCAUUGUUUGAAAAAUAAUAGGUGUUGGCUCAUGAGAUUGUUAUCCUUAGAGUUCAAUGUUAUUAUGAUCUGAAAUUUGACUACUUAAUUCAUAUCUUUUCAGUAAUAUAUAUAUAUAUAUAUAUAUACCAAAAAAAAAAAAGAUAUAUUUAUAGAAGCAAACAUUCAAAACAAGAAUGAUUCAAGGAAAUAUAUAUCUCAUCAUUCAAUGUAUUAGAAAUUCUGUGAAUGUGAAGAUUUUUUAUUACAUUGAAUGAAGAUUGAUUAAUCUCUUAAAUGAUAAUCCUACUAUACCUUAAGGAUAUUGGUUAGCCAGACUUCAAACAAAGAUAAACUAAACUUCAAAGGACUUAAAACAAGUUUAAUUAUCAUGCAUGCACUUUUUUUAUGAUUAAUUAACAGUCAUAAAUUAGCCGCCUCAUUAAACAUCUCGCCAUUGGCCUUUUUGAGUUGAAAAAAAUUCUCAUCACUACGUCGGCAGACCUAAAAUGAUUUUUGCAAAUUAAGAAUGGCAUUGAUCAACUUGUACAAGAAAAAAAAACAUCGUGCUUAAAGUCAAGUCUAAAAUUCUUAGGCAUAAGAUUAGAAUCGUUUCUAAGAUUAAAAGUUUUAAAUUCGAAUUUUAAUCAUAAUUCAAAAAACAAGGAAAAAAAUAAGCACUUCUUUUAUCAACAAAGCUACAGUACGUAGAUUUGAAGUGAUUUGAUUAAAAUGCUACACUCGAAAAUAUAUGAUUAGUUAGACACAUAUCCUCAUCAAAAGGAGAAAAAAAUAACAUAACUUUUGUGUCCUUUUCAAACUAAUAAAAAAAUUAUUUUGAAAAAAUGUAACGACAUCAAAAGACUGGGUUGAUAGCUUGAAAACGAGGGAAAUUGUUAUCUACAAGUAUAAGCAUCGUUGAUCGCGCAGCCAGGGAUGUGAUUGGCAGUCAUAAAAGCAUUCCCGACAAUUGUAUUUACUAAGCCAAUUUGUCACUAAAGUUAAUUAUAGGGAUUUUAACUCAAAAACUAUCAGUC
rnacentral:lncRNA from 1 species